AUAAUCAGCUUCUAGGGUUCCGAUUUAAGUUUUUAGCCAAGGUGAGAAACUUAAAUGCCAGGUCCGAGAGAAGCAGCCAGCUAACAGAAUUUCUUUGUGAUGGUGGUUACACGGCGGGAAAAAAGCCCGGGAGAA
rnacentral:sRNA from 2 species